rnacentral:lncRNA from 10 species
CCCCAGCGCCCACUGGGGAUGGCAAAGACGACAUCCGGUGCGCCGAGGCUGCUCACAAAAUCACUCACCUGUGGCGCCCUUGGCCGCUCAGUCAAGGCUCUGAAUAUCCUGAGACUGCCCCACUGCUUGGAAGCCCCGGACACCAGAGAGUUUCCUGUAGGUCCUCCAGCCGAGCCCGAUGACCCCGGCAGGCCCGGGAGUGAUGUCCCCCUCUGGAUGAUCCCAACCCCUUGCUGUGGAUUCAGCCCCAGCCGUUGUUGUGUCUUUUGGGGACCUUGUCAGUUGCCUUCCAAGUGCUAAUUCUCAUGACGAGAUAAGAAUGGCUAUGACUGGGUGUUGAUUGAUGAGUCGAACACAUUGAAUCCUGGAGUUUGAGGUUAUCAGAACUCCCCACUUAGAAAAUCAUCCUUUAUAUUUUAGAAAAUCAUCAUUGUAUGUUGAACAUACAAUGCUUCUUUUUUCUUCAUCUCCAGUGCACUGGUCUAGAGAGCGGCAGUUGGACCCCAGAGUGUGGCACGUGUUCCUGUGUUCAUUUGAACAUUCUCUGAUGACCUGUCGCUGAGGUCCUGUGAUGAUGCGUAUCCUGUCUUCCACCCCAACUGCCACUGUGUUUCAACUGUCGCUGGCUGUGUUUCAACUGCCGCUGUGUUGGAACUGCCAGCUAGACUGCUCACCAAAAUGGGAGGCAGCCUCUGCUGCUGUGGUGAAGGUGAAGGCUUCUUCUACCGCCAGAAUUGGCGGUUUCUCUCGCUGGAUUCUUGGGACCUGAUCCAGGCAGCACACUCGACACACUCAGCGAUUCAGCUCUACAGUAUGCACUCUGGGAUCUCCCAUUUGCUAAGGAAGGAUCUUAGCUUUGAGAAAGGUGACACUUUCCUCCCUACUUUUGCUGGAGAACUACCCUGGUUUGAGCUUCCUGCUGGAAAUGAGUGGCAAGAGAUCCCCUCUUGAGGAGACUCCGCAGGAACACCAGAGAUGAUAGUGACACACAACAACUGAAGGCAGAGGUACAGGCUGAGGAGAAAGGUGUCAAGCCUGUGGCAGCAGAGCUUCCUGGGGAGUCCUCAGAGCAAGUCAUUGCCAUUGUCGAAGUGUCUUCUAGGCUUUAUUUUGGGGCCAUUACCUCGAGCACUGUUUCUUGUCUGGUUUCCUAAUGUCAGCAACUGAAGAAAAGACCUGUAUACACAGGACACAGCAUGGUCUGACGCUCACAGUGUUUUCCUUUCUCUCUGCAGAGGGAUUCAGCACUUUGGGCAAGUGGUUGCACAGAGGAUCCCGUGGAAGAAUUCAUAUAUGAAUCAGAUGAGAAUGCCCCAGGACCAUCGUAGAUACCAACAAGCCCUCUCCCGGCACCUGCAGAAAAAGUGGGGAAAAUCCCCGAAGAGGCAGAAACAUUCAUCCGGAAGGGCCGCCAGCCAGUGGAUUUCCCGGGCCCCUCAGCCCUCUGGAGUGUACGAGUUUUGGAGAAACCUCUUCCUCUGUAUAUGCUUUUGACUUUCCUGGACUGAUGUAAAAAUACUCUUUUCUUUGACCUGUUUAUUUUUAAGACACGAUGUGAUUGUGUCAGCUUAUAUUUUAUUGCUGAAGUAAAUUUUCAAAUGUUUUAUUAGUU